rnacentral:rRNA from 1 species
CCUACGGGGGGCAGCAGUGAGGAAUAUUGGUCAAUGGACGAGAGUCUGAACCAGCCAAGUAGCGUGAAGGAUGACUGACCUAUGGGUUGUAAACUUCUUUUAUAUGGGAAUAAAAUGUUCCACGUGUGGGAUUUUGUAUGUACCAUAUGAAUAAGGAUCGGCUAACUCCGUGCCAGCAGCCGCGGUAAUACGGAGGAUCCGAGCGUUAUCCGGAUUUAUUGGGUUUAAAGGGAGCGUAGGUGGAUUGUUAAGUCAGUUGUGAAAGUUUGCGGCUCAACCGUAAAAUUGUAGUUGAAACUGGCAGUCUUGAGUACAGUAGAGGUGGGCGGAAUUCGUGGUGUAGCGGUGAAAUGCUUAGAUAUCACGAAGAACUCCGAUUGCGAAGGCAGUUCACUGGACUGCAACUGACACUGAGGCUCGAAAGUGUGGGUAUCAAACAGGAUUAGAUACCCGUGUAGUC